UUUAUGAAGACCUUACCAAGUUGAAGAGCAGAUGGUAGGGGGCUCGGGGCCCAGGAGAGGAAGGGGCCCGGCUCUGAGGAGGAAAGGAGGAGGAGGACUGCAGGCUGACUCCGGCCACCAUGCAAAGAAGUCCAGACUGUCUUGCAGGAGAAGGCACGUGGAGAAGGGAGGUCGUGGAGGAUGAGACGUGGAAGAGAACCGAGACACCCCAGCCAGCACCAACAGCCAGUCAUGUGAGUGAGCCUUCUUGGAAGGAAGCAGCCCCUCCAGCCCCAGCCAAGCCUUCAGAGGAUGCAGACCUGGCUGCCACCUUGACUGCAACUUCAUGAGAGGCCCUGAGCCGGAACCAUUCAGCUAAGCCACUUCCGACCUGACCCACAACAACCAUGAAAUUAUGUUUGUUGUUUUAAGCCACUGAAUUUUUUUAGGGGAUUUGUUCCACAGCAAUAGACAACAAAUCCAAUAGCUCUCAGAAGCCUGGAGAGAGUGAUGGCUCACGCUACGCAAAGCGGAAAUGCCUGAUUCGCACUAAAAGACAGGAGAGGGGGGAAUAACGAAGCUGACGACUGGAGUAGACCCGUGAUGUGAGGCCAGGGGGUCGCAGGACUGUGUUCCAUGAGCGAGUCCAGAGGACAAACCAUUAACCAAGACCAUCAGGAUCUUAUUAACUUAGUGUCACUGAGGAGUUCGGGGGGGGGGGGGGCUCUCCUUUGCAGGCCAGAGAGAUAGUCACAGAGAUAGGCUUGUUAAUGUCCAUGGGGACGACCCCUCAUUCUCAAGUAACAGAGGCCAGAUGUCAAUCAUCAGAAGCCAGCUCUGGUGGUUUUCACCAUAACAACUGGCAAGUUUGGAGGGGCAGCCAAGGGAAACUGUCCUGCAGGGAGUCUGGAGAUUGUUGGUAGAGCCUUCAACAAGGCAUUCCUAGGCAUAAUAUAGAUGAGCAGCCCACAGAGUGAUGUUUGGCAUUUAUAAUAACAACGUAGCAAGCGUGGAGGAGCAGGAUACUGAGGGCAACUGGCCCCAGGAGUCAUGGACCUCGACUCAGUUUCUAGAUCAAGUCAAUUUUCGGAUCCAGAUCCUAUUGUCUGAAGGGUGGAUGGGACCCAGCAACACCACAGAAGGUAUAUACUAGAACAUUUACUCAGCACACUGUGAAAACGAGAAUAGUCAGAUAUUGAGGGGCCCUUGGGCAGAUCUGAGGUGACACUGAUAGCCAGAGAACCAAAACCUUACCAUGGCCCCCCUGUAGAGUCGGGGCUGGUAAGGAUCAGGUUAUAAAUGGAAUCACAGUUAACGUCUGGCUCAUGGUAGGUCCCCUGGGUGGCAAAACCCCCGUGAUCAUUCUCCCCACCCUUGAGUAUAAAAUUGGAAUUGAUAAGUUCAGCAGUUGGUAUAAAACCCACAGUGGGUCCUUGGCCUUUGCAUAAGAGCUACCAUAGUGGAGAAGCUCAGACAGAAACUUCUGAAGCUGCUCCCUCUUUCCUGGCCAAGAAUGUAAAUAAAUAAUACCACAUCCUAGAGGGAUGGAAGAGAUUACCACCAUUAAAAAUUUAAAGUAUACAGGGAUGGUGGUCCCUUUUGUGUCUUCACUUAAUUUGCCAGUCGGACCCCUGCAGAGGCCAGACGGAUCUGGAGAAUGACUGUAGACUGCUGCAGCUCAACCAAUGAGUAGCCCUGAUUGCAACUGCUGUACUGGACAUGGCAUUUUUGCUCUAGAAGAUUAAUAAGGCCUAGGGUACAUGGAAAGUGGCUCUUGAUUUGAGAUGUGGACCCCCUGGACAUCCCACAGAGCAUCACACUGAUUCGUUGUAUUGAUGGCAUCAGGCUGAUGAAGCAGGAUGAGCAAGAGGAGGCCGAACGCUGGGAGCCCUAGUAAGAGAAGUGCACCGCACAUGGCCGGGUACAAAUGCUACAGAGGGUCAGGGACCAGCACGGCCACUGUGAAGGUUUUAGGGGUCCAAUGGUCAGAGCUGUACCAGAACAUCCCCUCUAAAGUAAAAGACAAAUGGUUGACAGACCCAGCGGGAGAAUCAUGAUGCUGUCCUGAGAUUCCAGAGUGAGACAAUGCAAUCUGUGGCAGGCAGGCACACAUCU